CAUGCAAGUCGAACGAUGAACCUCCUUCGGGAGGGGAUUAGUGGCGAACGGGUGAGUAACACGUGGGCAAUCUGCCCUGCACUCUGGGACAAGCCCUGGAAACGGGGUCUAAUACCGGAUACGACCACUGAGGGCAUCCUCGGUGGUGGAAAGCUCCGGCGGUGCAGGAUGAGCCCGCGGCCUAUCAGCUUGUUGGUGGGGUGAUGGCCUACCAAGGCGACGACGGGUAGCCGGCCUGAGAGGGCGACCGGCCACACUGGGACUGAGACACGGCCCAGACUCCUACGGGAGGCAGCAGUGGGGAAUAUUGCACAAUGGGCGAAAGCCUGAUGCAGCGACGCCGCGUGAGGGAUGACGGCCUUCGGGUUGUAAACCUCUUUCAGCAGGGAAGAAGCGAAAGUGACGGUACCUGCAGAAGAAGCGCCGGCUAACUACGUGCCAGCAGCCGCGGUAAUACGUAGGGCGCGAGCGUUGUCCGGAAUUAUUGGGCGUAAAGAGCUCGUAGGCGGCUUGUCACGUCGGUUGUGAAAGCCCGGGGCUUAACCCCGGGUCUGCAGUCGAUACGGGCAGGCUAGAGUUCGGUAGGGGAGAUCGGAAUUCCUGGUGUAGCGGUGAAAUGCGCAGAUAUCAGGAGGAACACCGGUGGCGAAGGCGGAUCUCUGGGCCGAUACUGA
rnacentral:rRNA from 1 species